GCUCAUUUCAGCAGAACAUAUACUAAAAUUAGAACAAUACAAGAGAUUAGCAUGGCCCUUGCACAAUGAUGAUGCACAAAUUUGUGAAAUGUUCAUAUAAAAU